CAUUCUUUAGGUUCUGAGAUCCCAGGUCUAGCAGACAAGCUCUGCACGGGUCGGCUGAAAAGUUCACAGGGAAUAUAUUGGAAAAUGUUCAAGGGAGCGGAGGAGGCAUUUGGGGAUGUGUGUGAUAAAGAGCACCCCAAGAAAGCUCAACAGAGGCAUAAGCCAGAGUAACACUGAUGGGAAAUGUCAUUCUGUUUCUAAACUUUCCAAGCCUUUUUUCUGGAUCAGCAAUACAUAAGCAAACCUGUUAUUGAAAGAGAAAGGAUAUGGGCUGUAAUGUCACAGAAGAAGAAGAAGAAGAAGAAGAAGAAGAAG